rnacentral:lncRNA from 1 species
CCCCAAACGAGAAACAACUCCGAAACUGAGCAGUAGCAGCCUAUCUGAAACUUGCAUGUCUGUCAGCUGUGAUCAUGUGAGCGGUCAGCUGAUCAGCCACCACACAUCCUGAUCCGCUGCUACUGUUUACAAUCGCACAGAGCAAACCGCCUCGACAUGAUGAGCAGCCCUGCCUGAUCUGUGACAGGUCCUGGUUGCUUCCUGUUCCCUCGGCCCCGGGUUCGCUGCCUCUCCUCUGGCCCCUUGUCUCUGGAGCAUGUGACUGGCUGGCUGUGGAGGCUCUGGGCUCUGGCUGUCAACUCCAGCAGAGACAUAAUUGUUCCUUUAUCUGCGCGCUGGCUGAGAGUCACAAGGCUGUCACAGUG